AGGUGGCAGCAGCGGGGCCCACACAGUCUGCAGGCUAACAGCACAGGUGGCAGCAGUGGGGCCCACACAGUCUGCAGGCUAACAGCACAGGUGGCAGCAGUGGGGCCCACACAUCUGCAGGCUAACAGCACAGGUGGCAGCAGUGGGGCCCACACAUCUGCAGGCUAACAGCACAGGUGGCAGCAGUGGGGCCCACACAGUCUGCAGGCUAACAGCACAGGUGGCGGCAGUGGGGCCCACACAUCUGCAGGCUAACAGCACAGGUGGCAGCAGUGGGGCCCACACAGUCUGCAGGCUAACAGCACAGGUGACAACAAUACUGAGCAAAAGCUAUAUUGUAUUGGUUACUGUGCUCCUAGUUUGUGAUGAAAAGAAAUAUAUCAAAGAGAUGGA